rnacentral:lncRNA from 1 species
UGAGCUUUCACUCACUGUCCACCACUGCUGUUUGCCGCCGUCGCAUACCCGCCAUUGACUUCCACCCCUCCGGAUCUGGCAGGGUGUCUGCUGCAUUUCUGAUCCAGCGAGGCACCCAUUGCCGCUUCCGUUUGGGCUAGAGGCUUGCCAUUGUUCCUGCACGGCUAAGUGCAGGAAUUUGUCCUAAUCAAGCUGAACACUAGUCACUGGGUUCCACGGUUCUCUUCUGUGACCCACGGCUUCUAAUAGAGCUAUAACAUUAACCGCAUGGACCAAGGUUCCAUUCCUUGGAUUCCGUGAGGCCAAGAACCCCAGAUCAGAGAACAAAAGGCUUGCUUCCAUCUUGGGAGUGGCCGCCACCAUCUUGUGAGCUCUAAGAACAAAGACCCACCUGUAACAUUUGGUGGCAACCGUAUGGUGAUUCUCCAAAGCGCCACCACUUGAGGAUAUAGCAAAAAGGCAGCCAUCUGCAAGCCAGAAGAGAGCUCUCACCAGAGAAGCACAUUGGCCAGUGCCUUGAUCUUAACCUUCCAGUCUCCAGAAUUGUGAGAAAUAAAUGUCUGUUGUUUGAGCCCCUACUCCAUGGCAUUUUGUUAUGGUUGCCUGAACUGACAGACUGCCUGCUCUGAAACUGCACCAACAGUCCCUGGCUAUUUUGUCAUUCAGAAUAAACCUCGUUUUAAA